AUAUGAUACCCAUCCAGACAAGUAGCAAAACUCGAAUAAACGCAUAUGAUAAAAAUACUUCGAACUUAAUAUUACGGAGAGUGGUAAUCUUAAGACAGGUGAAGAUCCUAAAUUGCUUCAAGAGAAUCAAAGCAAUGGAUAAGCAUGAAGCAUCAAGAUCAACAACCAUUAAGUUGACAACAAUCACGGCGUUCAGAGGACGGUUCAAGAAAAUAGACACAAAGAAACCGAAUCACCGCUUGACAUUGAAGCUAAAUGUCCGUACUGUGCAAAUUUCUGUCAGAUAGCGCCGAAAAUCCUCCAUUCAUACUGUAAAAGCUGGACAAGCAAAUUCACAGCACUUUUGACGGCAGCAAGAAGACGUUGAUAUGGCGAUAGCUAAAUAGCCCUUAUUUAAAAACACUAAAGUAUAAUAAACCAAGCUUCUCUGGCGUCAA